rnacentral:rRNA from 1 species
CACGUAGUUAGCCGGGACUUCUUAGUCAGGUACCGUCUUUUUUCUUCCCUGCUGAUAGAAGUUUACAUACCGAAAUACUUCUUCCUUCACGCGGCGUCGCUGCAUCAGGGUUCCCCCCAUUGUGCAAUAUUCCCCACUGCUGCCUCCCGUAGGAGUCUGGACCGUGUCUCAGUUCCAAUGUGGCCGUUCACCCUCUCAGACCGGCUACUGAUCGCUGACUUGGUAGGCCUCUACCCCACAACUAUCUAAUCAGACGCGGGCCCAUCCUGUACCGUCUCGGCUUUUCACACUGUAACAUGCGUUACUGUGCGCUUAUGGGGUAUUAGCAGCUGUUUCCGGCUGUUUCGUCCCCCUGUACCAGGGCAGGUUGCCCACGCGUUACUCACCCGUCCGCCACUAGUCACUUACUUCCUUCCUCCCGAAGGUACUUUAGUUAGUUAAGCGCCUUCGUUCUAACGUUGCUAGUGUGUUAGGCUACGCCGCCCAAGCCGUUCUACUCCUACGAGGCCUAAGGGACUACC